GCCUCUUAUACUGUAUGUUAGGAUAGGAGGGCUUUGAUGUGCAGACCGUUCAGGAGCUAAGCAUCCAUGGCCUACUGAGUUUAACCUAACCAAAAACAGAAAACAGAAACAAAACACACAAGCACAGCAAAUUAUAUGAUCCAACCCAAAAUCAAAUGAUAAAUAAAUCAGUGCUGCCAAAUCAAAUCACCAAACACAAUCCUUGGGUGUAAAACCAAACAUCAAACUAUAAUAAUAAUGGCAGGAAAACUCAGCAAGGCCCUAGCACACUUAUCACUCCGGGAUAACACAACAAAAAUGAAUAAACUAAAAUUGCUCCGACAGUGUGGUUAGUCAAACAGUACAGUGAUUCAUAUGAUCAUACGAACGAGACAAGUUUAUUGAUGGUCGAACUCGCCCACGCACUUACACACCACAAGCAUACAAUACACAGAACACACCGCAGACACGCCACAACUGCACCAUACAGCCUGCCUGGAGCACGUCAUAUGUUUAGUUCGUCGGGUAGCUCCGUUGGAUUAACCAGGCGGUGACAGUCAGGCAGUGAAACCAAGCAGUGGAGCCAAGCAGUGUAGCAACAAGCAGCCCACAAAUACAGCAGCGUUGCGUCGUGAGAAUGCAGCACAAGAUGGUAGCAGACAAACGCAGCAAAGCGUGGGUCGUACAGGAACCUUCAUCGCCAUUGAUCGCAUCAUCUUCCAGAUCGAACGUGAAAGCAUAGCGGAUGUGUUUGGCAUCACCUAUGAAAUGCGUAUGCACCGGCCGCUCAUGGUCCAGACAGAGGACCAGUAUGUGUUUCUUAACCAAUGUGCUUUGGACGUCAUAAAGUCAAGGAUGGGCACCAAUGUGGACCUGAUUUACCAAAACACAGGAGCAAUGGACAUUUACGAAAACCUUAAGCCUAACUUACCAUAAUUUAAGACUGUAUAUGUAUGGUGAUUCAUACAUUUAACAGAACUGGAUGUCCAUUACACAACUUCAUUUAAUUGUUCAACAACAUAGAAAUAUAUUUAUUCUUCUAAGGAUUUGUAAAUAUUUAUUAGUGAAAUGGAAGGAUAUUUUGAUAGAAGAAUACAUACAGAGGGAGAGAUAUAGAGAAAGAGAGGACGAAGUAAUUGUAUUAGGGCAGAAUAUCUUAAAUGUAUGUAGACAUUCAACAUAGACCAGGUAUGAAUUUUUAUUAAGAUAAGAUUGUAGAGCUUAGAGUUUUUGUGGGCUUUUGCGUUUGGUGGUUUGCAUUACUGUAUCCUGCCUUACUGUCUAUGCACUGAUUUUCUAAUAACUGCCUAAAAUUGUUACUGUGAGAUGUAUAUUUUCCUUUAUGCUGAUACACUUCAUGCUUCUAAUGUACUUGCACUUAAUGACCACUGGGGGGGGGGGAGGGCAUGUUGUACCCUUUGUUUUAUGAAACUCUUUCAGACUGUUAUGUUGGGACCAUUUUUCAAUGACAUCAGGCUAUGUUAUCCAUUGCUAUUUAAAUGUCUUCCACUUUAAUUCAAAGGGAUAAAUCUACUGGAGUCUAAAGUCUACAUUACACAAGGUGUAAAGUUUUUUACCACCCUCUAGUGCCUGCAUGUUAAUAAUUAUACGAUAAUUUAAGAUGUCUGUUAAUAAUGAAUAGCUGUUUCACUGUAGGUACACUCCUGUUUCCUCUCAGAGGUGCAGCGGUAGAAGGUACAAUUGUGUCAUAAGUUUUAUGUCACAUGUUUUAUAUGUUUUUAAGAUGUUGCUCCAAUCACUCCCAAGCUAUGACUCCAAUUAAUGUACAAUACAUUUCAAUACAUUUUAUUAUUUGUUUUGAAAUAAAAUCAUUAGCAGACACACGACACAUCAUGAGAUGUAAACUUGAAACAGGUUUAAGAAAGCCAUGGAAGGAUUCAAGAGAUUCCUCUUUUAAGUGAAAUGGCAGGGGUUUUCACAACAUCACUUGUCGCAGAAUAAAUAGAACCUUCAGGAAGCUAUAGAGUCAUCUUUGCAUAGACUACCACUUCCAGGAAUAAGCAUGAGAAAAGAAUGAGAAAUCCUUUAAAGAAAUCAAUUUUAGUGUUGAAAUAUCAUUAUUCAACAUAAGUAAGAAGAAGAUGUUUGUUCACUUCAAACUAAAAAUAGGCAUAUUCCUUUGAUUCCUUUUCAUUGUAUAGCACACAGUGUUUAUUUUUACGCAAAUGCAAAAGUGGUUUUUACUUGGUAUUUUUUGUAUGUAACAGAGAUACUGCUGAAGAGUUAACAUUUUAGUUUUGUUUUUGGUAAAGAAAAUGAUGGCUUUAUUGUAAAAUUCUGUUUUGUAUUCUUGUUUGAGCUUCCUAUGCACUGCAGACACUUUUACAAUAUUUUUUACUUUUACAUGUACAUUUCCUACUUCUAUUACUGUAUUGACAGG
ensembl:lncRNA